rnacentral:rRNA from 1 species
UACCAAGGCGAUAAUGGGUAGCUGGUCUGAGAGGACGAUCAGCCACAUUGGGACUGAGAUACGGCCCAGACUCCUACGGGAGGCAGCAGUGGGGAAUAUUGGACAAUGGACGAAAGUCCGAUCCAGCGACACCGCGUGGGGGAUGAAGGCUUUCGGGUUGUAAACCCCUUUUCUGGGGGAAGAAUAAGGUUGGAGGAAAUGCCCAUCCGAUGACGAUACUCCAGGAAUAAGCAUCGGCAAACUUCGUGCCAGCAGCCGCGGUAAGACGAGGGAUGCAAGCGUUAUCCGGAAUUACUGGGCGUAAAGGACGUCUAGGCGGUUGGAUAAGUCAUUUGUGAAAUCCCAGGGCUUAACCCUGGAAGGUCUUGUGAUACUGUCCGGCUUGGGUGUAGGAGAGGAGGGCGGAACUCUCAGAGUAGCGGUGGAAUGCGUAGAUACUGUGAGGUACCCCGAUGGCGAAGGCAGCUCUCUGGCCUACUACCGACGCUGAAGCGUGAAAGCGUGGGGAGCAAAGGGGAUUAGAUACCCCCGUAGUCCACGCCCCAAACGAUGUUCACUUGGUGUCGGGAGCCUAUAUAUCUCGGUGCCGGAGCUAACGCGCUAAGUGAACCGCCUGAGGAGUACGGCCGCAAGGCUAAAACUCAAGAGAAUUGACGGGUCCCCGCACAAGCGGUGGAGCACGUGGUUUAAUUCGAUAAGCGAAGAACCUCACCUGGGCCUGACAUACUAGUGGUAGGAACCUGAAAGGGUAACGACCCUGCCUUCGGGUAGGGAGCUAAUACAGGUGAUGCAUGGCUGUCGUCAGCUCGUGUCGUGGGAUGUAGGGUUAAGUCCCGAAACGAGCGCAACCCUUGUCACUAGUUGCCAGCGGAUAAUGCCGGGGACUCUAGUGAGACUGCUGGUGAAUAGCCGGAGGAAGGCGGGGAUGACGUCAAGUCAUCAUGUCCCUUAUGCCCAGGGCGACACACAUGCUACAAUGGGAGGUACAAAGGGUUGCAAUACCGCAAGGUGGAGCCAAUCUCAAAAAACCUUCCCCAGUUCGGAUUGUGGUCUGCAACUCGACCACAUGAAGCCGGAAUCGCUAAUAAUCGUAGGUCAGCCAUACUACGGUGAAUAUGUACUCGGGGAUUGUACACACCGCCCGUCACACCAACCGAGUGGGGGGUACCUGAAGUCGUCCUUUUGAGGGCGCCGAAGGUAACCUUCGCAAGAGGGGUGAAGUCGUAACAAGGUA